rnacentral:rRNA from 1 species
CCUACGGGAGGCUGCAGUGAGGAAUAUUGGUCAAUGGCCGCAGGGCUGAACCAGCCAAGUCGCGUGAGGGAUGACGGUCCUAUGGAUUGUAAACCUCUUUUGUCAGGGAGCAAAGGGCGCCACGUGUGGCGCUUUGCGAGUACCUGAAGAAAAAGCAUCGGCUAACUCCGUGCCAGCAGCCGCGGUAAUACGGAGGAUGCGAGCGUUAUCCGGAUUUAUUGGGUUUAAAGGGUGCGCAGGCGGAAUGUCAAGUCAGCGGUAAAAUUUCGGGGCUCAACCCCGUCGUGCCGUUGAAACUGGCGUUCUUGAGUGAGCGAGAAGUAUGCGGAAUGCGUGGUGUAGCGGUGAAAUGCAUAGAUAUCACGCAGAACUCCGAUUGCGAAGGCAGCAUACCGGCGCUCAACUGACGCUCAUGCACGAAAGCGUGGGUAUCGAACAGGAGUAGAUACCCCAGUAGUC